AACGAACGCUGGCGGCGUGGAUAAGACAUGCAAGUCGAACGAGGAAUCGCCUUAGCUUGCUUUGGCAUUGAAUUCCUAGUGGCGGACGAGUGAGUAACACGUGGGCAACCUGCCCGGAAGAGAGGAAUAGCCCGAGGAAACUCGGAUUAAUGCCUCAUGUGGCCUAUAGGGGCAUCCCUACAAGGCUAAAGGUGGCUUCGGCUGCCGUUUCCGGAUGGGCCCGCGGCCUAUCAGCUUGUUGGUGAGGUAACGGCUCACCAAGGCAACGACGGGUAACUGGUCUGAGAGGAUGAUCAGUCACGCUGGAACUGAGACACGGUCCAGACACCUACGGGUGGCAGCAGUCGAGAAUCAUUCGCAAUGGGCGAAAGCCUGACGGUGCGACGCCGCGUGGAGGAUGACGGCCUUCGGGUUGUAAACUCCUGUCAUCAGUGAGUAAGGUAGGCGGGUUAAUGAUGCCUCCGUGAUUGAUAGUAUUCGAAGAGGAAGGGACGGCUAACUUCGUGCCAGCAGCCGCGGUAAUACGAAGGUCCCGAGCGUUGUUCGGAAUCACUGGGCGUAAAGCGUAUGUAGGCGGCGGGGUAAGUCAGAUGUGAAAGCCCGGGGCUCAACCCCGGAACUGCAUCCGAUACUGCCUUGCUUGAGUGAUGGAGGGGAGUCUGGAAUUCACGGUGUAGCAGUGAAAUGCGUGGAUAUCGUGAGGAACACUAGUGGCGAAGGCGAGACUCUGGACAUCUACUGACGCUGAGAUACGAAGGCCAGGGUAGCGAAAGGGAUUAGAUACCCCUGUAGUCCUGGCAGUAAACGGUGCACGCUUGGUGUGGCGGGAUUCGACCCCUGCCGUGCCGGAGCUAACGCGUUAAGCGUGCCGCCUGGGGAGUACGGUCGCAAGACUAAAACUCAAAGAAAUUGACGGGGACCCGCACAAGCGGUGGAGUAUGUGGCUUAAUUCGAUGCAACGCGAAGAACCUUACCCAGGCUUGACAUGCAUCACUAAUCGCGUGAAAGCGCGCGCGUGACCGGCUUGCCGGAAUUUGCACAGGUGCUGCAUGGCUGUCGUCAGCUCGUGUCGUGAGAUGUUGGGUUAAGUCCCGCAACGAGCGCAACCCUUGUGUCCUGUUGCCAGCGAGUAAUGUCGGGGACUCUGGACAGACUGCCGGUGCUUAAACCGGAGGAAGGUGGGGAUGACGUCAAGUCAGAUGGCCCUUAUGCCUAGGGCUGCACACGUACUACAAUGCUCAGUACAAUGUGAACCGAUACCGCGAGGUGGAGGAAAUCCUGAAAACUGAGCUCAGUUCGGAUUGGAGGCUGCAACUCGCCUCCAUGAAGUCGGAAUCGCUAGUAAUGCCGUAUCAGCUACGACGGCGUGAAUACGUUCCCGGGUCUUGUACACACCGCCCGUCACAUCAUGGAAGCCGCUCGCACCCGAAGUACCAACAAUAAGUAGGUCCUAAAGGUGUAGCUGGUAACUGGGAUG
rnacentral:rRNA from 1 species